CUGGGGUCGAUGAGGGGACCUUCAAGAUUUCUUCUGGAUCCUAAUUCCAAGUCUGGAUGACUGAUAGCUUCGAUGAUUGCCCCUGCAAAGGGGUAUGAACUGGUCAGGCUUGCUGAUAAGGAUCAGGAUUCUGGAAGUGCCGCUGGACCUUCUGGUGCUUUCAUGGUGGGCAUGGAAGUCUGCUCAUCUUAGGCACCCGAUGGGUCUGAAGGUGAUCCAAAUCAACCUCCAGUACUCCCAAGUUGCUUCCACCCUUUUGGGUCUGCUGCUUGUGGGGAGCUGUUAUCACCUCACUCUUAUUCAAGAGCCAUGGCACUAUAAGGACCAAAUACAAGGACUUUAAAGAAGGU
rnacentral:lncRNA from 1 species